rnacentral:pre_miRNA from 1 species
CACCCAUUUGUGGAUAGCACCACAUCGUGAGAUUGAUGCUCCAAAUGUUGUUGCGUCGGUACGAGCUAGUCUAAAUGUCGACGCUCCGGUAUCUCUUAUAAAAAAAACUUGAUAAUUGUGUGCUAGAAAAAGAGAUACCGCAGCGUCGACAUUGCGACUAGCUCAUGCCGGUGCAACAACAUAUGGAGCAUCAAUCUCACGAUGAUGCGCUAUCCACAAAUGGGUG